rnacentral:lncRNA from 1 species
UUCUCUCUCUAAAAGGUUCCAGAGGCUUGUUUUCUAGAAGGUUCUAGAAACUUCUCUCUAGAAAGUUCUAAAGAAUAUGUCCCUAACAAUUCCUAAAUCAAAACCUAACCAAACCUUAAACCAAAUCUUAAUCAAACCUUAAUCAAACUCUUAACCUUAAAUCAAUUCCUAACCAAAUUCUAAAUCAAAUCUUUAAUCCUAAAUCAAAUCCUUAAUCAAAUCCUAAAUCAUACCCUAAACCCUAAAUAAAAUCCUAACCAAAUCCUAAAUCCUAAAUCCUAAACUAAAUCCUAAUCGUAAACCAAAUCCUAAUCCUAAAUUCUAGAUCAAACCCUAAAUCCUAAACCAAAUCCUAAACCCUAAACCAAAUCCUAACCCUAAUCCUAAACCAAUCUCUAACCAAAUUCUAGUAAUUCCUACAAUAGAUUUAAACAUCAAUACCUAAUGAAUAAAUAGUUGAUCUUAACUUAAAUUUUUCAUACUUCUUAAAAACUAAGUUGAAAACAAUCACAAAAUUUUUGAAAAAGAUUAGAAUUACCAAAUAGACGAUAACCUCAAAAAUAUGCUUGGGUAUUAGUCGGCAUCCUUCUACAACCCUGAUGCUAAUCUCCUAAAGCCGAUAUCUCUUCUUUGCACUGUUCGAUUGAUUUUUAAAUUCUCAUACACAUUGGAAAAACAAGUCUAAUAUUCUCUCACAUAAGUUUCACUCAAAUUCAACUAGUAGAUUGCAAGAAAUCUUAAAAAUCCUUACUAGACUUAAAAUUCUAUUUUUUGAAAUCUUGACCUAGUUAAACCUCAAUGAUCCUCAAUUUAACCAUUAGAUUGAAUUCAAAUUCACAAAACAUAUUAAACACAACUAUAACCAUGAACCCACAAAAUUUCAUCCAUAGAUCUGCUACAAAACUCUUGAAAACAUCCAAAACAUAAAUCCUAUUUUAUUUCACAAAACCCAAGUCAUGCAAAACAAACCUUGACUUUGCAAAGCUCUUACAAAGUCAAUACAAAUCUAAAUCAUCCAAAUCUAAUGCUCAUACAAAUCUUAUCUAAUCUUCUAUGAAAUUCCACUUUCCGAUCUGCCAAAGAGUCCCGGAGUCAUCGUCAAGACUCGGUUUUGUGCCUCAGGGUCUGAUUUUGAUCCUAGUUCAUAACCGGCCCUCUCCGGGUAUCAACAUCUAAUUUUCUAAGUAAUGGUUACUAGAAUUUACUCUUAACUUCCUCCUAAAGAUGUCUAUAUCAUUUAUUUUUCUAAUCUAUCUUAUUUUGCCUUAUUAUUGGCCCUACAAAGUAAGUAGAAGCUAUUUUUUUCUAUAAAAGCAGCAUUACUACUAAAAGUUUUACUACCUUCUUAUCUUUUAUCCAUAUUUUUCUACUUUUUCUUUUAACUUGAUUCUUCUAUAAUAAGAUCCAUAUUAUCAUCUUUCACCAUAUAGUCAUGUUACAACAUGACAACGUGAUGCAAAAGUUAAAUUGUGAUAAAAAUAUAUUCCAACAUACUUGGUAAUGGUUCAAGACUCACGCUGACAUGAAGUAUUCAAGAUUCUUAUGAUUUGUAUAAAAAAUCACUUGAUGAGAGGCCCCUUCAAGAAAGUGGCACCAUUUUUGAAAAGAAUUCACAAUGGUAAGCCAUAAAUAUAAAUUUUUACUUCUAAAUCCAAGUUAUAGGAUGAAUUCAAUUAAGAGUUGCUUGUAAUUGGUGGUAUGAAGUGAAGUAAGCAAAUAAAAAGAACAAAAGAAGAACAACUACAAAGAAAUUGAAAUAAAUAACAUGAAGUAAUUCCAAUACCCAAAACUAAGUCAUAGUCUAUCCAUUGUGUUUUCAUCCAAUAAAAAAUAAAAGUAAAAAAUAAAAAAUAAAAAAUAUAUUUUUAAAUAGGUAAUUUUAUUAUCUUUUCAAUGACAUAAGAACCAUGUAAAUCCGAAUUACUAUGAAUAAGUUAUGAAGUUUUUACAAUUCUGACCAACAUUUUUAUAAUUUAAGGCUAUAUUUUUCUACUUUGGAAAUUUUUGAUAAUAAUAAAAAUCAAUUUUAAUCCACUAUAAAUCCUAUAUUUUAUACUAAUAAUUAAAAUGACAUGAGGUUCUUUGUCAUGCUUCUUUUAACUACUAACAUUUAUAGUUUUUAUAAGUAGUGCAUAUAGAUAGAAUACCAAUAUAAAUAUUGGUCUUAAUAAUAAUUCUUAAUAUUCAACAAUGAAUAAAAAUACUACAGCAAUGAAGAUAAUUAUCUUCAAGACUUACUAAGGCUCUAUUUCCACUACUAAUAUUCUAAGUUUCUAUUUCUCUAAGGAUUUUUAUGCUACUCACUAUAUAUUAUGAUUUAAAGCAUUCUAAAUGCAUAUUUUUAUCCUAAAACAAUAAGUGAGUUAAUUUGAUGAUUUUUAUAUGGCAACUCUUUAUUGUAGAUUUUGUAGUUGAUUUUUGCCACUAAAAAUUUUCUAGAAUGGAAUGCAGUAGGCUGAAGUUUUUCAUCUUUUCUAUAUUAUGACAAGAUUGCUAUCAAUACAAAGUCUAAGGCAUCAGUCUCCAUAAAGUAGGGCUUAUUGAAAUCUGGAUAUAUCAAAAAUUGGAGCUAAUAAAAAAGUAUCUUUUAAGUAUUUUAAAAAUCUUCCUCUACUUUGGAGGUCGAGUCUAACUUGUCCUUGUAUAUCAACUGCAUAAGUGGAGCAGUGAUCUUAGAAUAAUUCUUAACAAAAAUUUAUAGAAGUUUGUAAAUCUAAGAAAGUAUUAGACAUCAAGUAUAAUUUUUGGCUUUGUCCAAUUAAUGAUUGCUUGUACCUUCUUUAGAUCCAUAAAAAGGCCUUUGUUGGAAAUAAUAUAUCCAACAAAUUUGACUUGAGGUGCAUAAAAUACACACUUCUCUAGUUUUACAUGUAGCUCAGUACUUCAUAGCUUUUCUAACACAAGGUAGACAUAUUUUUUGCAGUCUUUUGGAUUCUUAGAAAAGUUUAAAAUAUCAUCCAAAUAGAUCACAAAAAAGUCGUCAAGAUGCUUACAAAAUAUAUCAUUUAUUAUGUGUUGGAAUAUAAUCGGUGCAAUGGUAAGUCCAAAAGGCAUGAUAUUGUAUUCAAAAUGUCCAUACCUCGUACAAAAUGUUGUCUUCCAUUCAUCUCCCUCCUUAAUGUAUACCAAGUUAUAUACACCUUAUAGAUCAAUCUUUGUAAAGAUCUUUUCUUGGCUAAGUUGAUCAAGAAGUUCAGAUAUCAAUAGUAAUAGAUAUCAAUUCUUUAUUGUGAUUUUAUUAAGAUUGCAAUAAUCAACAUACAUCCAUUGUUGUAUUGCAUGGUUUUCUAUCUGAGAAUAUAUUGAGUACCUAGCUGUAGAGAGUUUAGUUUUAACAUAUUGGCCAAGCUCUAAUAAAUUAUUUAAUAGUUUAGGUAGAAAAUAAAUAAAUAAUAUAAUAUUAAAAGAUAUUAUACUAGUAAAACCUUUUAUAUUUAAGAAGGUUUGUACAUAAGGCUUUCUAAAUAUCUAAGAAUUUCCUAACAUUCUUAGUUGUACCAAAGCAUAACUAACCAUUUGCUAGUAAAUUAGAUUUUUAAUAAUUUCAAAAAAAAUCAAUAAUCUCCUCUCAAAAAUUUAUCUUUAUAUUAAAAUUUAACCAUAGCUUCAUAUAUCCAUCUUUAAUAUAUAUAUAUAUAUAUAUAUAUAUAUAUAUAUAUAUAAAGUAUUGACUUCCAAAAAAUUCUUUUACUUUGUAUAAAAUACUCAAAUUAUAAUAAAAUCCCUUCAAAACAUAUUUUUCCUACAAAGUUUUUCUUCUUCUCAAACUUUAGAAAUUCAUAUCUCUUGCUCCAAUUGUUUGGUUUUUGUCAAUUUUAUAGAUAAUAUAGAAUUUAUCCUUAAGCAUUACUACAAAAAAAUUCAAUAGUAAAUUUGCGACCAAUCGUCUGACAUCUUAAAAACCCUAGCAAGUACUUCAAACCCUAAUUUGCAAGCACCUAAGUACUAUUUUCUUCAUAUUUCACAAAUCUGAAAUUCAAAUACAACAAAGUUUGUAUAUUGAGUUCAUUAACAUGAUUAUACACAUUCUUAGAAAUUAUAAGCCAAAAUCUUAUCAAAUUGCUCAAGAUUUAGCUCAAAAUACAACUACUAUUGAAUCAGGUCACUUACUACCCUUAGAUUUAUAAGUGCUGAUUUCAAUCUCUAAUAUCUCUUUUAUUUUGAUUUAGAAUCCAUCAAAAAAUAUACCAAAAUUAUAGCCAAAAAAAUGUUCUCUUCAACCUCAAUUGCCGAUUCUUUGUUGCUUUAUAUAUACGUAUGUUAUAUCCAAAAGAGUGACAAUAGAUACAAAAUCAACAUCUCGACUUUGAGUGUCUAUAUCUCCUUCAUAAACACUCCAAUUGAUUCAAAAUUUGAACCUAAACCAUAGCCAAAACCUUGAACCUAUUGAUCUUAGCCUCUUAAAGCUCGAAUGGCUCAAAAAAGUAAUCCUAAUCCCUAAUAUGGCCUCAGGCAACCUCUUUGAAGUCCAUUGGUCAUAAUUUUUGACCAAUAGGAAUAGAGAUUUAUAUCAUCUAUCUCCAUUCAUUCAUAUGGAUGCCCUAACUACCUUUUUUGCUACCAAAACUUCUUUUUUAUUCUUUUUUUUAUAAGAUUUAUACAAUAUAUGCCUUAAACACCAUAUAAAAGAAACAAAAUAAGAUUUUAAGGGUCACCAAUAACUAACAAAGGUGACUCUAAAUAUUUAAAAGUUACUACUAAUAAGAUCAACUUCAAAGUCACUAUCAAAAAAAAUAAAGUUAUAUAAAUUCUAAUAGAAGUCCUUUUAAAUAACCUCUUUUUAGCAUAUUAUUCUAUUUAUAUCUUAUAAUCAAUAAAAAUCUACUAACAUGGUUUUCACCAUAUUGUCUAGUAUAUUAUGUAUUAAAACACAUUAUUUUUACAUGGUAGCUGAACCACAACUCAGCAUUGUUAAAAUCUAUCUUUUUUCUUCAUAAAUAAUAUCGGAGUACCAGCAAGUGACUUGGAAUGUCAAAUAAAAUUCUUAGCCAAAUUUUUAUCAAUGUACUCUUUUAAGUCACAAGCUCAUUUUGGAAUAAAUUGUAGAUGGGUCCAAAUGGUAGUUGAGCACCUUCUUAAAGGUCAAUUGCAUAAUUGUAAAGAUGAUAUUUAGCCAAGAUGUCCACAUUCUUUUUUUCAAAUAUAUCGAUAAAAUCCUUAUGUGCCUCUAAAAUCGUUGUUGUAGCAACCAUAGGUAUUGAUCAUAGAUAAGCAUAGACAGUAAAUAUAGUAUUAUAUUUGAUCUCUCUUACAAAUGCUUUAGCUUUGAUAAAUAAAUGUUAUUUAAGUUUUGUCUUGUCAUGCAUUAGAAGCUUUUUCAUAGAUUUGGGAGUUCUAUGAUCUACUAGAAAAAGUUCUAAUUUUUGAGAUACCCAAUCUAUCCAUAGGUUGUAUUUUUAAAGCCAUGAGAGUCCUAAAAUUAUUAGACUUGAUGGUGAUCUAAUGACGUUGAAUAUUACUUGGUUGUUAUGGUUGUUGAAGGUUAUUUCUAAUAGAAUUGUCUAAUGAGUGAUGUCUCUAGAGCAUAAAGAUAAACCAUCUAUUACUUCUAUAUAUAUGGCUUUGGAUUUUUUUACCAUAAAAAUUUUGUAUGAUCUAAAAAAUUCUUUAUCAAUAAAACAUGUUGAGGCUCCUGAAUCAAGUAAUGCAUGAUACUCUAGUUUUUUGACUCCUAGCUGUACAUGUAUAAUAAAAGAAUAGAAAGAUUGGUAGAAAAUACAUGAUUUUUUUUGGUUUGUGAUAGUGAAGAAUCUAAUCACACAAUCUCUACUAUAGCUAGAUGCCUUCAUUUUUUUACAAAACUUUUGAUGACAUAGAUGCACUCCUCAUUUAAUAUGUAAGUUGAUGUUUCUCUGAACAAUUAUCAACCUUGUGGCUAGAUUUUCUACAAUACAAGCAUAGAUUAAGUUCACUUUGAUGUUUUUUUUCUUGCUCAAAAAGAGAUUUAACGCGAACUGCAUUAAUUUGCAUAUCUUUUGCUUCCCAAUACUCAUUAGAAUUGAUUGGUAAAGAAGCUAUAGAAUAAUUGGUAUAUACAUGUGGCAUAACCAAAAAACAUUUAUCUUGUCAUCGUUGAAAUAAAUGAUUGUUAUACUUCACAGCUUGACUAAUGACUUCAUUGAGUAUUUGAGGAUCUGGCAUACUCAACAAUAAGUCCUUAACAUCAUGUAGAAUAGGUAUUACUUUGUUUCUAUAAGAUAUUGAUAAAAUAGACUAAGAGUCCAUAGAAUAGUCAAUUCAGGAGGACAGAUGAUUGAUUUAAUUAUUAAAAGUGAUUAAUUACGAGAUUACGAUUAGAAUCUAAAAAUCAAAAGAAAUUAUAUAUGAGUUGUAGAAGUUUGUUGGGAUGCCAGACUGUGAUAGUCAUGAGCCGGGAUAAGCUUAGGUCUACCUCUUUGUUUCUUUGUUUUCUUUGGUAUUGAAGAAUAAUGGAUAGUUUCUGAAUAGUAAGAAGUGAGUCUGUGGAAUAAAUCAGAGAUUGAUUUAUGAGGUAUUGAUUAUGUAAUUGGAAUAUUGAGUGAUUGAAUUAUAUGAAGAGUUAUCGGAAGAUUAUGACUGUUGUUUAUUGAGAGCUAUGUGUGUUUCGACAAAAAAAGUCUGUGAUUACAGAUUGUUGGAGUGAAGUUUGUUAUUCUUGGUGUUGGAUGGAAAUUAUUUUGUUUUGAGUGGUAUUUUGAGAGUGCAAGGUUGCACAUUGUUGUUAUCAGGUGAUGAGUAUUGUUACUGGGAGAAAGCAUCGUAGUAUUUUUUAGUGUUCUAGUGGUUCGAAAUACAGUUAAUUGUAUGACCAUAACAAGUAAAAUUCAUGCACUUAGUCUUUUUCUGUGUUUGAAUUCUCCUAUACAUAUUUAUUCUUAAAAGAAUUGUAGAAUAAGUGAAACGACAAUCACAUUUUGGCGCCGGUGCCAGAGAUAGAUAAUAGCAUUGAGUAUUAAGAAUUAACUCCCAGUUUGGUUAGAUGGGAGAUAAGAAGAAAAUUCAGUAGAAUAUAAUGAAAGAGUAUGAUUAUUAAGAAUGAGAACUUAAGAGUAAAGAGACUAUGGCAGUCAAAAGAAAGAAUAGAAAGAUCGCAAGCAAGAUAUUUGUUGCGUAACGAGAAAGAACGGAAGUUAAAAAGGAAUCAUCAACAAAGUUGGAUUAAACCAUGAUUGCAUGCCUAUCGACAUAUUUGACUAUACCCAGAAGCUGAUUGACAUUAAAUAUUUCAGCACUGUAUACAGUUAGAAAAAUUGCCAAGAGUACUCGUGGAAAAUUUGGUCAAUAGACCAGUGUUUUCCUUGAGACUGUUAAAUGCUAGUGGGGGAAUCACAUAAAAAUUAUGUACUCCAUUGGAUACGUUUCUAAUAACAGAAGUUUUCAAUUCCGUCAAAACUAGUUUAGUAGAGUAGCAUAAAUUAUUAUUCAAUAAAGGCCAAUUCAGUGUAUUUUACGAUCCAUCAUUUUUACCCCUAAUUCAACCGAAUAACUUAAUAAGGAACAAUAAUAGUAAAUUGAGGAAACUUAAAAAUUCAGAACAAUCAAUUGAGAGAGGUGCUAGUUGUUUUGACAAAAGAUUAAGUAAAAUAUUGUUUUCUUCAAUCGCAACAGGUGGUCUAGCGGUUCUAAUAGCAGUACAAGUAGGUAACGUGAGUAAUUGUAUAACAAGCGUGGCUUCAUUACCUACUUUUAGGGAUUUUUUGGAUAUGGAUCCCGAUCGACAUUUGUCUCAGUUUCAGACAACAUGGGUAGCCAAUAAUGAAAAAACUGAAGAUAUUUGGUUACGAUGGUUGCCAGCAACCUUAAAGGACAUGGUAUUUGAAUGGUAAAACUGUCAACCAAUGGGUCAAUUUUUCAAUUGAGAAGCAUUGAAGAAUAUAUUUUUAAUCUAUAUUCUCCAAAUUGGUUUUGAUGAUCGACUUCGAGAAAGAUAAAUGACUAGCAAAAUGGGUCUAGGAGAGGUAGUGGAAUUAUACUAUAGUCGUGUGGUAGAUAUAUUCGGCAAGUAGCCAAAUCACCAAAUGCCAGAGGCUUUUGUAUUUUCCAUAUUAAUCAAUGGAUUAUACCCAUCCAAACUAAAAAUGUUUGUAAAAGAGGCUCUACCAAAUACGAUAACUGCAUCUCUUAAUAGAGUCAAGAUUUGGGAUGAAUGCCAUUAUGAUUAGUUUUUAACUUCAGGUGCCACGAUGAUUCCAAUUCAAGGCAAUUAUCAAAAUCCAACUUGGAAUAGAUUGGUGGAUAGUUAUCACAAAUAUUAGAAACAGUAGCCAAUUCCAAUGCCAAUAUUCAAGGGCUAGUUAAUAUCACCCCAUUGCAAGCCAUACCGCCAAAUGUGACAAUAGUGUAUGCUCCAUAUUUUCCACAUCAACAAGAAGCGGUAGUGUUACCAAUAAUACCAGCCCCAAAAGAUUCCAAUGAAACCUUGUUAUUGAACUUAACGAAGAAAAUGGAGAAAAUGGCUAUUAAUAUAGCCAAAGAUAAAGAAAAAAGCCUAUCAAUACUAGGACCAAUGUAUGGUGCAGUAAUUGUAAGGGCCACAAUCAUUUGGUAACAGAAUGCCCUUCAUCCUCACAAAUGAUAGAUCAAUGUACAUUUUACAAAAAAAAAAUACUUAACAGCUAAUUAUUGGAAUUGACAAAGGUAACAAUAAUUUCGUAAUCAGGCCAUGAUCCCACUGACUCAAUUGGAUGUCAAUCAAGUUCAAAUGGAAAGUAUAUAUGAAUGGAAUGGAAAUCGAUUUAAUUGAUAAAAUCAAGUAUUCAAUAACUUUCAAAUUAAUUUCUAUGUAAUUUCAAAAAACGUCCUAUCUCUUGAAAGAUCUUCUUGGGGGCACAAAUUUCAAGGAAGCUCCGGCUACUGUUCCAAUUUCAAGUCUACGAUGGAAGAAUAUCUUACCUCUCGGAGUUAAACUCAACCCAAUGAAAAGAAAGAAAGCAUUGGGUAUUACCUUAAAUAUGGAAUCCUAUGACAUUUUGAAGGAUCUGGAUGCUAUUUGGCAUUCUAUUUUUAUGAAGCAACUUCUAACGGUUACACCAGAAUGUUGUUCUACAUUGAAUUUAUUGUUAAUAUGGCAUAGGCAUUGUAAUAAGGAAGUUUGUGAAGUUCGUUUGAACCCUGAUCUAAGUACACCAACCAUCGAUAUUUUGAUUGAUGGUGUUAUGAUGUCAAGUGUUCAGGUAGAUGGUGGUUCCAGCGUCAAUUUAAUGAAUGCUAAUACAAUGAAUGCUUUAGAUUUAGAACACUUAGUACCCACAACAUCGAUAUUAAGAAUGGCAGAUCAUAGCCGGAUUAAACCAAUGGAUAUUUUACGGAGUGUUCAAAUUAUAAUUACCAAUAUUGCAUAUGAAAUUGACUGCAUUAUCUUUUUGUUACAACGUUUGACUAUAUCGUAUCUAAUUUUAUUCAGAUAAUCCUAGCUUUAUUAAGCAAAAGCCAAGAACGAUUGAGAUAGGGGUACUUUGACAAUUGGCAAGGAUGGAGAUAGAAUGGUUUUACAAAUGUACCUAUUAUACUAUCACGAGGAGUCUCAAUUGUCAACAUCUGAAUUGACAUCGAAUGAUGAGCUUAGCUCCGAUGAUGAUGUAGUAGCACUGAUUACAAAGGCAUCCGUGGAAGCAGCUCAAUACCCUGAAGUGGUGUACCAAUGUGGCAAUUCGAGGGAGUACUUGAUAUACCCGCCAGAUUCAGAAAUCUUUACUAAAGUUAAUAUUGAUUGGAUGACUAAGUAUGAUAUGCACCAUAUAAGUGCCUUGGACAUAGGAUUCAGUACUUUGCAUAUGUCAGACUUAUCGACUAAUUUGAAAUCAAUGCGGGAGUUGAAACACAACAUUGCCGCUAUACCUUUAUAAGAAACUAUCAACUUGGUGACCACAGUAGAGCCUCGGAUAAUUAAGGUCUACAAAGGUAUUAUGGAACAGGAGUUGACCUGCUGGACACAAUUUUUCUUGCAUCAUAAAUCCGCUUUUGCUUGGAUUUAUGAUGAUCUAAAAGGUAUCCCCGCUGAAGUUUGUAAGCAUUGUAUCAUUUUAGAAGAGAACGUUAAACCGGUAUGACGGAGGCAACAUUGCCUUAAUCUUAAAUAUUCCCUUAUAGUGAAAGAAGAAUUGGACAAGCUUCUUGCAAUUGGUUUUAUUUACCCAAUACCAAAUAGUGAUAGUAUCAAAAAAGAACAAAAAAAUCCGAAUUUGUCACGAUUUCCAAAAACUUUAUGUGGCCACCAAGAAAGAUUACUUUUCAUUACCUUCCACAGACAGUAUGGAUAACAUGUUGUCAUUAUCACCAUGUAGUAAAAGAAUAGGAGUGAGACACCAAUUAAAGUCAUUCUGUGGUGUUCUUUUGGGUUAUUUUUUGAGUGUGCUAUUUCUUAUGUUUCUUGUGUAUUCAAGAGUAGUAGUUCCAAUUAAGAGUAAACAGUGAGGAGCCAGUCACAAGUGUCGAUUGAAGAUGUUCUAGGAUUGAUGAGUCAGCAACAGCAUCAAUUGGAACUUUGGGAUGCCUAGAUCUUGAAACUAGAAGCUUAGGUCAACGAAUUGAGAGAGUACAAUGAAGAUCUAUCAAACUAGUUGAGAAAGGAGUUGAUCGAAGGACUGGAGGAGGAAGAAGAUUUGCAAUUGGAACUAGAUUUGGUGGAACCUAUAUUCAAUAAUGUAGCAAAUGAUUAAUUGGGUGGGCCAGAGGAAAUAGUAACUUUAUAGAGUUUUAUUAAGUAGUUCUUAGAUAAGAAUCAAUUGUGUAUUUGCGAAGACGCUAUACAAAUAAGAAUAAGACUAUGUAGAAUAGAUAUUACUUCGUUUUUAUAAGAUAUUCAUAAAAUAGACUAAUAGUCUAUAGAAUAGUCAGUUCAGGAAGAUAGAUGAUUGAUUUAGUUAUUAAAAGCUGUUAAUUACGGAAUUACAGUUAGAAUCUGGAAAUCAGAAGGAAUUAUAUAUGAGUUAUAGAAGUUUGUUGGGGUGCUAGACUGUGAUAGUCAUAAGCCAGGAUAAGCUUGGUGCUACCUCUUUGUUUCUUUGUUUUCUUCGUUAUUGAAGAAUAAUAGAUAGUUUCUGAAUAUUGAGAAAUAAAUUUGUGGAAUAAAUCAGAGAUUGAUUUAUGAGUUAUUGAUUAUAUAAUACGAAUACUGAGUGAUUGAAUUAUAUGAGAAGUUAUUGGAAGAUUAUGACUGAUGUUUAUUGAGAGUUGUAUGUGUUUCGACAAAGGAAGUCUAUGAUUACAAAAAUUAUGUGAAUUCAAAUUGUUGGAGUGAAGUUUGUUAUUCCUAAUAUUGGAUGGAAAUUAUUGCGUUUUGAGUGGUAUUUUGAGAGUGCAGGGUUGCACACUAUUAUUAUCAAUUGAUGAGUAUUGUUACUAGGAGAAAGAAUCAUAGUAUUUUUUAGUGUUUUAGUGGUUUGCAAUACAAAUAAUUGUGUGAUCCUAACAAGUAAAACUCAUGCACUUAGUCUUUCUAUGUGUUUGAAUUCUCCAAUACAUGUUUAUUCUGAAAGAAAUUGUAAAAUAAGUAAACGAUAAUCACACAUCAACUUUUAAUUUCUAAUAAAAUUGGGUCAUUGAUGCAUCUUCUUUUCACUUUAUAUUACAUAUUAAUUGAUAAAAAUCUAAUGCAUAUACUGUCGUAGACAUACGCAUGUAAGCCAAUAAUUACAUGUAUAAAUAAAUAGAAGUAAGUAAAAGUAGGUAAAAAGUAAGUUAAUUCUAUAGUAUUUAAUAUGGAAGCUUCCUAAAAGCCUCAUAGAUGCUGCUUUGACUUUAUAUAUGUCUUUAAUUGACUUUUUGGAUUAGAAACAUAGUCAACAAGUUGGCCAUGUGCCACACAUGUUGCUAGUUUGAAGACCAAGCUAACUAUGUGGCCCACAUGUAGAAAAACUUGCCUUGUAAGUCAAGGCAUGUAUCCUACAAAGUUAAUACAUAUUGGAGGUCUAAUAGAACAUUGCCACGUAGCCCCCAGUUAGAUAGUAUAUAUAAAAAUAAGAGUGAAGUCUUCUUCACUCUUAUGAACUCUUUUGUUACUUCUACUCUAAUUUCAAGGGUCUCUAGUUUUCUUAGCUUUUGGCAAUAGCCAUUCCAAUUUCUUUCUUCAUAUAGAUAUCAAGUUAUUUCUAUUUUUUUAUCUUUCUUUGAGAGAAGUCUCACUUGUUUUUUUUUUUUUUUUAUCAUGUUCUUGUCCUUGACUGAUUGACAAGAGUACACUUACAAUAUCAGAGCUUUGUCUAAUCUUGAUUGAGAGUGGAUUACUCCUUUCUCUUGAUAAGACACAAGCAUAUUAGAAGUUGUAGAUUACCCUCUUCUAAACUGAUAUUGUCCUUAGUAUUUUAUUUGUUCUCAAGUUCUCUCUUCUAUUUAUCUUGAGCAAUAUUAGACAUCUGCUCUUUUUUAAGUGUUAUCAUGGCAGAAUUUAUUGAAAUGAAGAGUGCAAUGGCACAAAUACAAGAAUAUUUGAGGGAGUUAAUGCUUGCUAUGCAUCAAUUCAAUUUACCACCACAAUGAGCAACAAGAUUGGCAAGAAGUGAAGAUAUAGAAAUGAUUGGAGCUACUUCAACAUCUGUACCAAAUCAUGUCCCUUCUCCUAUGGUAGAAUGCCCUUUUAGUGUUAGAGAACCAAGAAUUACCCUACCCGAGAAGUUUAAUGGUACUAUAUCAAAGUUUAGAAGAUUUAUCAAUCAAUUAUAAUUUGUGAUUGAACUUCAACUCCAAAUCUAUCCAACUCCAGGAUUGCAACUUAGAUUCAUUGGUACGCUUCUUUCAGAUUUAGCAUUAUUAUGGUUUUCAUCUUUUCUUAAACGACGAGAUCUAAUAUUGCAUAAUCUAGAGGCUUUUUUGGUAGAAUUUUAAUCUAUGUAUGGUGAACAUGAUGCAAUUCGUGUUGCAACCAAUAAGAUCCAUACUUUAUAACAAAGCAAUCUAUCAAUAACAUUAUAUGCUUCACAAUUUCGACAACUUGCAACUGAUAUCAAGUAGGAUGAUGUUGCACUUAUAAGCCAAUUUUUCUAUGGAUUAUAAUAUGAGGUAAAAAAAUUAAUGCUCAACAUUUCUGAUCCUCAAACAUUGAUUCAAGCAAUUCAUUUUGUUGUGAAGUGCGACAAUCAUCUUUUUGAAUUCCAAUCUGAGAACCAUACAAGUAGACGUCAACAGUACUAUAAUUCAUUGGCAAUACCAAUAUCCCUUCAUCACAUACAUUCAAAAGUAGAAGAUAUACAAAUUGAUGUAGUAUGUUUCAAACCUCUUAUUGAACAAGAAAAGACUUAUCGUUGUAAGGAAGGAUAGUGCUUAUAUUGUGGAAAACCUAAGCACACUGCUCAACAAUGCCUAAAGAAGCAAUACAACCAUAAAAUGAAGAGUACCAUGAUCAAAGAAGAUAGCAUGUCAGAAAACAAAUUUGUCCAACUACAAUAGGGACCGUGUGGCUAAAACCUUGUACAAUGUGUAGUAAAGGUCCUAUCCUCUCCACAAAAUCUUCUUCUUGUUUUACGAUAAACAUUAUUCUAGAACCUAAACAUCACAAAGCCUCUGCCUUGCUAGAUUAACAAGCUUGAGCAUGUUUCUUAAAUGAAGAAUUUGCGAAAAGACAUAGGAUACUUUUAAUGAAGAAAACUAAACUUGUUCAUGUAGAAAUCAUAAAUGGUCAUGUGUUGUCUUUACGAGAUGUUAUUCAUCAAACUCUUUUUAUAAAAAUAGUAACUAAUGGUCAUAGUAGCUUUGUAAUAUUUAAUAUCAUUAGAUCUUCUUCUAAUCUAGUCAUUUUAGAUUUAUCAUGGCUAAAAAAAUAUAACCCUAAAAUAGAUUAGACUUCUCAUAGUCUUAAUUUUUUUGAAAGUAUAACUAAAAGCAUAGUUAAUCAAGUAAAAAGUCAUAAGUCUAGUAUAAUUAAACCUAUAUUUAUAGGUAAAAGUGCUUUCUUGCAUGUUCCAAAAGAAGGAUCACCUUGUGUCAUUUAUGCCACACUUAUUUCUAUAGGUGGAAAGACUUCAAGUGGCAUUCCAAGUCAAUAUCAAGAUUUUCAAGAUGUAUUUGAGAAGAAGAAUGUCGAUACUCUUCCAAAACAUCGUUCUUAUGACUGCUCAAUUGACCUUCAAGUAAGAAAAUAAUUGCCAUUUGGACCAAUCUAAAAUUUAACUCAAAAUGAGUUGGCUGAACUCAAGGAAUAUAUUGAAGAAAAUUUGGCCAAGAAUUUCAUACGCCUUUCCAAAUCUCUAGCAAGAGCUCCAAUUCUAUUUGUGAAGAAAAAAGAUGGAUCAUUGCAAAUGUAUGUCGAUUAUCGAAGACUCAAUAAAAUCAUUAUCAAUAAAAGAUAUCCACUACCUUUGAUAUCUGAACUGCUUCAUCAAUUGAACCAAGCUAAGAUCUAUACAAAAAUAGAUCUACAAAGACCAUACAAUUUGGUACACAUUAAAAAAAGAGAUGAAUGGAAGACUACGUUUCGAAUAAGGUAUAGACAUUUCGAAUACAACGUCAUAUCUUUUGGACUUACAAAUACAGCAAUAGCAUUCCAACAUUUAAUGAAUGAUGUCUUUCAUGAGUUUUUAGAUGAUUUUGUUAUUUAUUAUCUAAACGACAUUUUAAUCUAUUCUACGAACAUAGAUGAACAUGAACUUCAUGUUCGUCAUGUAUUACAAAAAUUAAGAGAUACAAGACUCUAUGCCAAAAUAAAAAAGUGUGUAUUUCACACUACUCAAGUCGACUUCUUAGGAUACAUCAUUUCAAAUGAAGGACUUAUGAUGGAUCCUAAGAAAGUUCAAACUAUUAUAGAUUGAAAGAUCCCAAAAAUGGUAAGAGAUGUUCAAUGCUUUUUGGAAUUUGCCAACUACUAUCGGAUCUUCAUCAAAGAUUUCUCUCAAGUUGCAGCUCCACUUACACGUUUGACUUGCAAAGAUAAACUUCAAUAGAAUCAAGAAGCAGAAGUAGUAUUUGAAGCUUUAAAGACAGUCUUUGUUUCUGCACCAAUCUUGUAUCGCAUCAAUUUUUCUAAGCCAUUUUUUAUGAAAAUAGACAUAUCAUACUUUGCUUUGGAUGUCAUAUUGUCACAAAUGGAAACAGAUGAUAAACUUCAUCUUAUAGCUUUUCAAUCUAAAAAAUUUUUAGCAGUUGAAAUCAACUAUGAGAUCUAUGAAAAAGAACUUCUUACAAUCAUCGAUUCGUUUCAAGAAUAGCGCCAUUAUCUAAAAGGUGCUUCUAACCUAGUCACAGUGUAUACGGAUCAUAAGAACCUUGAAUAUUUUAUGUCAGCAUGUAUUUUGAAUCAUCACCAAGCUCGUUGGAGUAUGUCUUUGUCAAGAUUUAAAUUCAAGAUUACUUAUUGAUCAGAAAAACAACAAGGUUUUUCAGAUGCACUCUCUAGAUGAUCUUACCUUGCACCAAAGGAAAGAGAUGCUACUUUUAAUCAACAAUGGACAAUUCUCUUAAAGCCAAAUCAUCUUCAUCUUCGAGCAAUGAAAUCAAUACUAACUGUUGAUUCAACUUUCAUUAAGCAAGUUCAGUCAAGUAUGUCUUCUGAUCCUCUUAUUUGUGAUAUUAAAGAAAAUCCUUCAAAGUUUCAUCAUACUUCUAAGUUUGAAUUCAAGAAGAAUCUACUAUAUUUUGAGGGGCGCCUAUAUGUUCCAAAAAGUGAAGAUCGAUUACAUAUUCUUCAAGCUCAUCAUGACUUUUUAGCAGCAGGACAAUUUGGGUACAAUAAAACUUUGGAACUAAUAUCUAGGGACUUUUGGUUGCCCCAAAUGUGGAAAGAAGUCAAAGAUUUUGUAAAAUCUUGUGAUGUUUGCUCAAGAUCAAAAAUUCCUUGUCAUCAAUUUUACGGACUUCUUCAGCCAUUAUCCAUUCUAGAACAACCAUGGUCUUGUGUUUCUAUACAUUUCAUCACGGAUCUUCGAAUCUCAGGUUCUUAUGAUUCUAUAUUCGUGAUAGUAGAUCAUUUUACCAAGAUGGAACAUUUUAUACCAUGUACAAAAUUUAUCACAAGUGAAGAAACAGCUAAGCUCUUUCUUGACAAUAUCUAUCGCUACCAUGAAUUAUCCAAGGAUAUUAUAUCAGAAAGGAGAACUAAAUUUGUAUCAAGAUUUUGGCGGUCUCUUUUCAAGAUUUUUAAAAUAGAUAUAAAACUAUCUUCGACAUUCUAUCCUCAAACUCAUGGACAAACAAAGCAUGUUCAUCAAGUUUUGGAGCAGUAUUUAAGAUGUACUAUUAACUACCAACAAGAUGGUUGGACAACUCUUUUGCCAUUGGCAGAGUUUGCUUACAAUAACAUCGUACAUUCUUCUACAAAACAAACACCUUUCUUUGCCAAUUAUGGUUAUCAUCCACGACUUAAUACUUUUGACUUUUUAAAAGUUGAUAAUCCUACUACGAAAGAUUUGGCAAUUCAUUUAUCAAAGCUACAUGCAACAAUGAAGGCACAAUUAAAAGAAGCUCAAGAACAACAAAAGGUCAAUGUGGAUGUCUAUCGAAAGGAACAACCACCAUUUCACAUGGGUGAUAAGGUAUGGUUACUUUGUUGGAAUAUCAAGACCACUCAUCUUUAAGACAAGUUGGACUAUCAAAGGCUUGGACCAUUUUCUAUUUCUGUACAAAUCAAUCUAAUUGCAUAUCAUUUACAUCCAUCAGAGUCAAUGAAAAUCCAUCUAGUAUUCUACAAGUCUCUUUUUGAAUCAAAGAAGAAAGUAGACAUACCAAGAAGAAGACAAGCUCCACUUCCUUCCAUAGAAGUGAACAAUAAUGAAGAAUUUCAAACGAAAGAAGUCUUAGAUUCAAGGCAGCACCGAAAUAAAUUAAAAUAUCUUGUCCCUUCGUACAGAUAUGAUACUAGUGAAUGCACAUGGGAGCCAGUAAAGAAUCUUGCAAAUGCAUUAAAGGUGGUGGAGGCUUUUCAUCGAUGUCAUUCAUCAAAAUCAAGAUAAAAACCUUCUUUAUAAAAGAAACAAGAGCUAAGUAAGAUUACAUUCUACUUUCAAUCCUUAUUUGUAGCUUCUUUGUAGUUGUAACAUUGAAGAGAUGGAGAACCAACAACCAGUGGAUUCGACUCAAAAGCCUUUGUUUGUUGAUCUGUUAGACAAGAUAUUAUGAUUGUCUCAACCUUCAAGAUGACGCAACUAAGAUGAAGAUCUUCAAAAACAACUUAUUCUUCCUCGAAUAGAUGGCAAGAUACAACGCAUUUGGUAUCACGACCUUAGAAGGGACUCGCAAUGUUUAGAGAUUUUACUAGAGGUAGAAACAACUCUUGAUGGUGCUUUAAAUGUUUUAUUUGAAAGAAGUUAUGAAGGCCUCAACAACGAUCAAAUAACUGGGUGGUCUUCUUGCCUUGGUAUGGGACACUAUCAAUGGUUGAGAGGCCCUAUCAUUCAUCUUUGAAGAGAACAAAGAUUAAAAUAUGUGGCAAAUACAAUUUGUCGCAUCAUAGAUUUUUUCAAUAUAUGAAGAUCACUCUUCAUGGAACUUGUCCCUAGAUAAGGGGGGUAAUAUCAUUGACAUACAUAUAUAAGCCAGUAAUUACAUAUAUAAAUAGGUAGAAGUAAGUAAAAGUAGAUAACAAUAAGUUAAUUCUAUAGUAUUUGCUAUGGAAGCUUCCGAGGAGCUUCAUAGACAUUAUUUUGACUUUAUAGGUAUCUUUAAUUAAAUUUUUAGAUUAAAAACGUAGUCAUCAAGUUGGCCAUCUACCACACAUGUUGUUAGCUUGAAGACCAAGCUAACUAUAUGGCCCACACGUAGAAAAACUUAUCUUGUAAGUCAAGGCAUGUGUCCUACAAAGUCAAUACAUAUUAAAGGUCUCAUAGAACAUUGCCACAUAGCCCCUAGUUAGAUAGUAUAUAUAGAGACAAGAGUGAAGCCUUCUUCAUUCUUGUCAACUCUUUUCUUGCUUCUAAUCUAGUUUCAAGGGUCUAUAGUUUUCUUGGCUUUUGGCAAUAGCCAUUCUUGUUUCUUUCUUAAUAUACAUAUCAAGUUAUUUCUAUUUUUUCAUCUUUCUUUGACAGAAGUCUCACUUGUUUUUUUUUUUUUACCGUGUUCUUGUCCUUGACAUUCAUUAGUAUAAAACUCAUUGUCAAGGUAGAGUGAAUUUGCCUCAAGAAAGCACUGGGCGUCUAACUACUAUUAAUUGCUCAAUCAAGUCUUGAGAUAAGAAAGAUCAAAUUUAUAUAUAUAUAUAUAUAUAUAUAUAUAUAUGCACUAUUAGGAGCAAUUAUAUCAAAUAUAUAAGUCUUAAGUUCCCAUAAACAUCCAAAAUAUGAUAAAUAAAAUUCUAAAUUCUUAUAUAUCCUUACGGGAUAUUAUUCUCAAACUUCAACAACUCAUAUCUUUCAAUCUAACUAUUCAAUCUCACUCAAAUUUUACAUGAAGUACUAAUGUACUUUUAACAACUACCACAACAAAUUUCAAGGACAAAUUCAUCGUGGAUCUUAAGAUAUCACCAAAAUCCUAAUAGUAGCUUCAAAUCGUAGUUUUUAAUUAUCCACAUGCAAUUUUCUUCAUAUAUCACAAAUUAAGUACUUAAAUACCACAAAAUUUAUAUAUGUAGAUUUUUAAUAUAAUAAUCUACCUUCUUCAAAAGAUUUGAGCUAAAAAUUUGUCAAGAAAUUCAAGAUAUGACUCCAACCAUUACUAUAAAUAAAAUCACUUACUUACUACCUUUGAUUUGGAUGUGCGGACUUCAACUCUCUAUAACUUCUUCAUCCGAACUCCAAAUUCAUCAAACAAUAUAAGAAUAGUAUAGCCAAAAGAGUUUUCUCUUCAAUUCUAGUGAAUAAUAUUUUUACUAUUUUUAAAUGUAAUUUGUGCUCUAAAAAGUAAUAGUGGAUACAAAAUUGACACCUUAACUUUGAGUGCCAAUAAUGCCUUCAUAAAAACUCCAAAUUAUACAAAAUUUAUACCCAAUCCAUAUUCAAGAACCUAAACUUACUGAUUUUAGUACUUAAAGCUCAAACUACUUCCAAAAAAAAUCCUAAUUCCCAAUAAGACCUCAAGCAGCCUCCUCAAAGUCCAUUAGAUAUGGCCUUCGAUCAAUAGGAAUGAAGAUCCCCAUUUCUUGCCUUCAUCCGACCAUGCCUUACUUUCAUCCCUCCCAAUACACCUCCUAUUAGUUAAGAUUUUCAUCUUUAGGCUCUUAUCUCGUCUCAAGGCUUCAUACUAAACAUUUAGAUUAUAUAAUUUUUUUAAAUGUUAUAAUCAAAAUAGAUAAAAUUCAAAAUAAAGAUUCUUAUAUUCAUUCUCUUUAAAUUAAUCUAUUAACCAUUCUAACAUACACCAAGACUUAUGAACAUAUUAUACAUUCUAAUUAAUUUUUAUAUAUUACAAGUAAUUAUAAUACGACAGCGUUUCUUAUCGAAGGCUUCAAAUUUAAUUAUUGAAGAAUAAAUCUCAUCAUGUUUACCAAAUACUGUCAAAAAUACUUCAAAAUUGUGCAAUAUAGGAGUAUUCUUUUCAAUUAAUAAAAAAAACCAAGAUUAAGCUUGAACUGAGAGCAAGGUUCAAACCAAACCAAUAUGAGAUACUUCAGUGGAAUAUCGUUGAGGUUGAAGCAAGGUACUUAAUUAUACUUAUUUUACAAAGCCAUAAAAUUUUAAACAUGUGCCAUCAAACUUUUUUGGAAGGCUGAUCCUUGGUUCUUUUACUAUUAUUAUUGUGAAUUCAUUGUCUUGAAUGGAUGCACCUCCCAUGUUUGUUGAAGCAAAUAUAGUUAUUUGAGAAUUUGGAACCUCUAUUGCUAUUUGAUGUGGUGGUUGAUGUACUCCAACUCUUUGACCAUUAUGUAUGGUCAUAUAUAAUUCUUCAUUCUACUUUCACAAAGUCUCUGUCUUGAUCUUUAAUGCUUCAAAAGUAUUAAUAAUAGAAUCUAACUUGAUCUCUUUGGAAUUUGUCAUAUUGACUUUUCUACCUUCUACCAUGGAAAAUUUUAAAAUCCAAAAAAAAAAAAAAAAAAAAAAAAAAAAAAAAAGAUCUAUGGUAUAAUGAAAAAAAAUCAAAAUAAUAUUAAGAAAAGAAUAAUAUUAGUCAAAAAGAGGGUAAUCCACAACUUGUAGAAUGCCAUAGUACUUUCAAAAAGAGAUGUAAUCCAUUCUUUGUUAAAAAAGACCAAGCUUUUAAUAUUAUUUUAUGGUAGUCUUGACAAAUUAUUAGAGACCAUAUACAAGACAAGGAUUCAAGACCAAGAAAUAGAAUUAGCUUGACAAUAGAAUAAUAAUUAGAUAUAAGGCAAAAAGAUCAUGGCUAGACCACAAAAAAUGAGUUGUCGAGACUGAAGAUCCCUUCAACCUCGACUCCUAUAUAUACUAGGUCCUAGGAACCUGCUUGAAAAAAAUUUAUGAGACUUGGAAAUAAAGCAAGUCUAAGAUCCUUCUUUGACAACUUCCUAAUUCAUCUAAAACCUCUUAGAACUUUCUAGGAUCUAUUAUGACCUUCUAAAACUUUCUUAGAACCUAUUGAAACCUUUUGGAACCUUCUAGGAUCUACAAAACCUUUUUAGAACCUUUUAGAACCUCCUAGAACCUUUUCAAACCUUCUUCAAGUAUAUGUCCAUGACACAAAUUACAUACCUUGUUCACUAGUAGAAAAUCCACGUGAAUCUCUACUUAAAGAUCUACUUGAAGUUCCAUCCAAAGCUCCAUCAAAAAUUCCAAAUUCAACCUUCUUGCCUUCUUAUGCCAUCAAUUUUAAAACCACAAAUCCAAUGCAAUACCUUUUGCCUCAAACUUUCCUAUUGAAUUCACCACUUAUGUCCUUUUAUGUAUUGUCUUAUUUGAAAAUGCACCAAGUACUUAUCUAUAGAAGGUGAAGUUAUAUUUUACAAAUAACCACGAAAUUCUAAUAGGUUUCACCCAUAUAAGAAGAAUGUUAUUUGAAUUUCAAUUCAAAAGUGCUUAAUUUCAAUAUAAAGUACUCAAACAUACUCUUUUUAGUAAUUUCAACUAUACACAAAUUCCAAUUGCUUAAUAACUCUCAUAAUUAGAUAAUUUUGAUUUUUCUUUGUAAUCCUUAAUCCUAGUCAAUGAGCUUUAGCAAGCUAAAACUCCUUAUUUGACCAUCUAUUUGGUACAAAAAAAUUCAUAAAAGUGCUAAUAUAAGUCUUUUAAAUGCUCAAAAAAAUCCAAUCUAAUUCAACUUAUAGAUUGUGAAAAAAUAUCCAAAAAAUCACACAAAUGUCACUUGGUAGUUAACUCAAGAGUUGAUGCUGAUAUUCUACUAGUGAUUUUUCCUUCUAAAAUUAUUAAAUUUAGCUCAAAAUUUAUAUGUAGCUUAAUUGUCAAGUCUUCUAAUAUCAUGCCAAAUUUCACCUUAUUCCAACAAGUAGAACUUUAUAUAUCAUAGAAAUCCUACUCAAGUCCAAAAUACUAACUUUCAAUAUCCUCUUUUACCAAAAAUCAGAUAUUUCUUAACUGCAUUGUUAAAUUAAUAUAAAGUUUUAUUUACACUUAGUACACGAAAUCAAUCUAGUAUUCUCAAAUUUUGAAUUAUAGAUGUAAUACCAAUUUUACAAAUUAGUUAAAAGUAUUAGCUUUAAUUGUAUUGUGUAAAUCUAAGGUCACCAAUAAAAAUCCUAAUUUUGAAAAAUAAUUGCAAAGUCAUCUCAAAUCCUAUGAAAAUAAAUCUUAUGUCUUUCAAAGAAGCUUAAAGAUAGCUCUCAACUUCUAAUCACCAAUCUCCAAAUGCCCCUGUACUUUAUCCUAGGAGGCAAAUUUAGUGGCUAGAGAUCUAAUUUUGACCCUAUUCCACAAACGGUCGACCUUCAAGUAUCAAUCUACCUAUCCUAGGAAUUUUUUAGUCCAACCUUAUCCUCAACUUAAUCUUAGUAUCAAACAUAUUAAUUAUUUAUUUCUUUUAUCUUAUUUUUAUUAAUUUAUGGAUUAAUAAUCUAUGACAAUUAAGUUAUUGAUUAAUAGAUUAUUAAUUGUUAUAAAUAUGUCUCCUAGUUAAUGAGUGAUAAAAUAAGUCUCACUAAAUUGAUUUGAAUCUUUCUUAAUAAUAACAAGUUUAUAUAGUCUAGUGAUACUAUCUUAUCAAUUUGAGGCAAGGAUAGUAAAAGGUCUAUUGGAGUGUUGUAUUACAUGUGAUCUUCCUUGAGAAUGUAUCAAGUACCUAAUUAUAGAAGAUUAGUAAAAAUGCAACAAUAAUACUACCAAGUUUAAUAGAGCCUUAAAUAAACUUCAAAUAAUCCUUAAUAAAUCCAAUCAAACUUUAACCUAUCAAAAUAAAUUAAAAAGAAGUCUUACAAGAAAUACAAAGAAGUCAUGAUUUAAUCUCAAAGAAAAAUAAUAAGAAAUAUUUUUAAAAUACUAAAAAUAGAAAUUUUAAAGAAAUAAUAAAGAAAAUUUUUAAAUAUUAAAAAUAAAAAAUCUAAUAUAAUUCAAAUUGAAAUUCUAAUUGAAUCUUAACCAAAUCUUAGCUCAAAUCCUAAUUGAAAUCCUAAUUGAAUCUUAACUAAAUCUUAGAUCAAAUCCUAAUAAAAUUCUAAUCAAACCUUAGUUAAUUUUUAAACCAAAUACUAAUCCUAUCCAAAUCUUAGACCAAAUCCUAAGUCCUAACCAAAUCCUAGACAAAUCCUAAA